UAAGGAAUAUUGGGCAAUGGACGCAAGUCUGACCCAGCCAUGCCGCGUGGAGGAUGAAGGUCCUCUGGAUUGUAAACUUCUUUUAUCUGGGAAGAAACCCAUGAUUUCUAUUGUGGUUGACGGUACCAGAUGAAUAAGCACCGGCUAACUCCGUGCCAGCAGCCGCGGUAAUACGGAGGGUGCAAGCGUUAUCCGGAUUCACUGGGUUUAAAGGGUGCGUAGGUGGGUAUGUAAGUCAGUGGUGAAAUCCCCGAGCUUAACUUGGGAACUGCCGUUGAUACUAUAUAUCUUGAAUAUCGCGUAGGUAAGCGGAAUAUGUCAUGUAGCGGUGAAAUGCUUAGAUAUGACAUAGAACACCAAUUGCGAAGGCAGCUUACUUCACGAUUAUUGACACUGAGGCACGAAAGCGUGGGGAGCAAACAGGAUUAGAUACCCCCGUAGUCC
rnacentral:rRNA from 1 species